rnacentral:lncRNA from 1 species
CAAAGGAUAACGUUAGGGUGUAUAGGGUAGGCUGAAACAAGGAAAAUAAAAAUCAAAGUAUGUGUGGCAUUUUUGUGGGGGUAGAAGGAAUGGUAGAAUGAAUGGAUGUUCAGAAGUAAUAAUAAAUGAUAAGAAAAUAAAAAUCAGAAGACUUUUCACUUCUUCUUUUUUUUUAUACUUUUCGUUUUUUUUAAUUUUCGUAACUUUUUUUAACACUUCAAAUACAAUAUAUUGAAUUCAAGAAGAAUAAAAUACCACUUGAUUUUUUUUAUUUUUUUAUUUUUUUCACGUUAUGAACCUACUCUAAGCUUGAUACGAUUGUCGAUGC